CCUGCCGUACACACAGAUUCACAAGAGGUCAGGCCACGGAGACCCAUCUGUUUGGUUCCACUGUCCCCUGGGGGGUUGUAAGAGGGGUUUGCUGCUCUGAGGCUUGUGGCUUGUCUUCUCAUUAUGCUUUUCACUUACCCCAGAGGGCUUGGGUGACUCCCAGAUGGUCCUGAUGGCAGUUAAACACAGACUAAGAGGAAGUGGGAUUAACUCUCAAUACCGGAGGCACAAUUUUGGCAUAAAGAAUAGCUCCUGACAGAUAGUAUCUUUAUAGGAUGUUCGGUGAGCAACGGUGGGGCAUUUGGGGAAUGUGAGAAUUAGCGCACAAGAGGCUGAGGAUAUGAGCUUUGGAGCCAGUUUGCCUGGAUUCUACCCCCUCCCCCCCAGAUCAACUGCAUACUAGCUGUGUCCCUUUGGGCAAGUUACAUAGUCUCUCCGAGCCUCAGUUUCCUCAACUAUAACACGGUGAGGAUAGUGACAUUACCCUACCUCAUAGGGCUAGUGCAAGGAUUAAAUCAGUUAGUGCUUAGAAAAUGGGUUUUAGGCCCUUAUGAUAAUAAUAAUGAUGAUGACUCUUCGUGUGAUUAUUCUACUCCCAAAAAAAUGGAAAACUCUGGACAAGUCUUAGCUGUAUCGGGCGGUGCACAUGUGAUCUUGGGGCUGGAUUAAUGGCUCUCUGAAGGCAGGGACCAUGUUUUAUUCAUUGAGGUAUUCUACCUGUCACAUGGUAUAUUUUAAAUAAAUAUUUGCGGUGUGCAAUAAUGCCUGGAGACAGAGAGACAGGCCAGGAGUCUCAGCCAGGGCUGCCUCUGUCAGAAAGCCGUGUGGCCAUUUCUCCCGACAGUUUCAUCCCUGGCUGGAGGCUCUCUGCCCAGUGUGGCAGGUGGGCAUGGUGACGCCUGCACGCAGGAGCGUCGUCGGGCUGUCACCGGUGUCACGUGGCAACACGCUGUAGGGCCCGGUGCUUCUCCAACCAAGUAGCCACCGAGAUACAACAAGAUGCCACAAUCCCACAAUCCGGCAGUGAUUCCCACCAAACUCCCCGCCCCCGCCCAAGCCCCUCCCCUCUUCCUUUCCAGGCACAUAAUGGAUCUAAAUAUGAAUGCUGUCAAAGAAAAGAAUUAUUGAGGUUUAAGUGAAUCCUUAAGAUAGCUCUAAAGUGAGCUCUUGACUGGAGCCUUUAUCUCAUUGACUCACUGAAAUGGCUCUUUUUUAUCAUACUAUUUAUGGCAACAGCCCUAACAGAGAUAAAUAGCCUUGGAGACAAUAACAGAGUUGCCAGAGCAAGGCAUACAGAAGAGACUGGAAGGUUUCAAAUCCCCCCAGACCCAGAGCCUCUUCAGCAAUCUCCCUCGGCCUCUGCCUCUGUUAAAGUCCAGCGGGUGGGCCUGGGAACUAGAAUGGGCCCAUCGUCCGCUUCCUGUUACCUAGGCCGGCCGCCAGUGGCAGGUGGGAGGGCACUGCGGGGGCGUAGGUGACCGUGAGAAAGAUCUAAGGGGAGAAAGCUCGGGAAAGAAACAGGAAGAAGCUUGUUCCCGAGUGCUCCUGGGAGGCAGAGGUGCCGGAAGAAGAGAUGUGCCCAUAGGGGGGAGGGACUGAUUGUCUGCCACAGGUAGAGGACAGAGGAAAUCACAGGCAAUCCUGAUGUGGCUCGGCCCUUCUAGAAGCCACAGCCUACCCAGACAGGAGCAUGACAGGGGUGGUGUGGGGCCACCGGGAGACUCAGGCACUGUGGUAGAUCCGUGGCCUCCGGCACAGGCUGGGGAGCACGGUUGUCCGUGCUGUUGAAUAAAUGAUGAUCCCCCAUCUGUAAGGGGUGUGUUCCGUGUGACAAGUGCACCGGCACAGAAGCGGGGAGGGCCAGGCAGGGGGCAGGGUGCGGAUGGUGUGGCUGCACGCCCACAGCACAGGGAGAGGACAGGUAGUCUAGGACACUUCCACAGAGCGGGGACAGCUGGCAGGUUCUCUGGAGGAAUCAACCCUCCUGGUGGGAGAUUCAGCUGGCUGGCCGCUCGGCCUCACGGAGGGGAAACAGUUUUAGCCCCCUUUGCCACUCCUGGGGCGUCGGAAUCUGUACCACUUGUCUGACCUGAAUGGUGACUCCCUCACUGCCUGGGUUCUGGUGAGAGCAUCGUGUGAGUGUGUGUGUGUGUGUGUGUGUGUGUGUGUGUGUGUGUACGCGCGCGCGCGCGCGCGAAACUUCUGGAGGAGUCUCUUACCUCCAAACCCAAGCAGGGAACCCAGUAUUUGUGGGCUCAAAUCCAGUCCGGAUUUUGCAUCUGUGAGGCGCCCACUUCCCUCCCUCCCUCCAUAGCCCUCGCAACACCUGCUGCAGAGGCUGGAAGCCAAGAGCUAUUGUGCAGGACCCUGAACUCUGGCCCCCCGCCUCCGCCUCCACCCCAAACCCGGCACAUUUCAUGGAGAUGCUUUGCUGGCUGGCACGAAGCCACAGAGCUUCCAGCUCCAAUGGGGAACAGAAUUCCUGGCCAGCUCCCGCCUUUGGGUUGUCACCCUAUUCCCUCCCUGGGGGCUCUUGGAAUUAGGAAGUUUAAGUGUGAUUUUGCAUUUCUAUGGAGCUGGGAUUCUACCGGCAGGGAUGCUUAUGAAUAGGGGUGUGAGGCAAGUUAGAGUGAGGUGCAGACUUCUCAAAAUCUUGAAUUAAUGAGGCCAGAAGGGUCCUCUCAAAGGUUCAGAGCUCAUGAUAACUAUUUUGAUUCGGAGAGCCUAUUCUGGGCUUCCGUACUUCCAAAACAUUUAUUAUUUCAUUGAAUGCUCAUGGUUUACCUUCCAGGUAGGCAUUAUUCCUAUUCAGCGCCCGGAAAGUGGAGGCCCAGGGUGGUCAGUGCACCAUGCACAGACACACAGCGGCUCGCUGGAGUCCGGGUUCCCCCACCCUAGCGCACUGCUAUCUGCACGCUGACGGCAAGAGGCACCUCGUUCAGGGUGCACCGAGGAGGUUCUCGGGGGUUCUCCACCCGCCCUUGUGAGUUUUGCCUGUACCACUACCCUUCCCCGUGUUGACAAGGUGCAGCUUCAGAGAAGCCAGGAGGGCAGAACUCGGACAUGAAAGCAAGGCAAAGGCACUAACACUGGGAAGGAAGGACCCCCCCCUCCUUGGCCUCUCUUCCUGCUCUCCAACCUCGAUGAGAAUUACUGGAAAUUCCCCUCUCCCCGCGCAAGCCACUGUCACAGCCUCAUCAACCCUCCCAGGAAAGCACCUGGUGGUCUACACCCCGGGGCCCUUUUUCAGAACGCUCCCCAACUUACAUGUUGUGCAAAGCACACCAGCCGCAGUGAGGGUCCCCCGAGCUCAGACACUCCCCACAGGUUGUGUACUGUUCACAGGACUCCACGGGGACCCUGGUGAUCUGGCAGAGAGACGAGAGAGAGCACGGUUAGAUCAGAGGCAGCAGCAAAUCGUCCUGCGUCCUUCUGCCUGCCACCAAAGUCCUUCUGCCUGCCGCCCAAGUCUGUGCGGGAAAUGGGCUUGCGGUAAGUGCUGAAAAUGGUUAACUCUGCUGAAAGCCUAUUGAGUGCCACCAACUUGUCUCUGAAGGGCUUUCAGCUGGGCUUGGGCUGAGACAUCCUGCCCGCACAGAAAAAUUUAUAAAGGGAGAGAAGGAGAAACUUUUCCUAUCAAAUAAUAUUCAUUGCAUGGCAGUCUCUUUACAGCCAACCAAACAUACCACCUGGAUCCAAUUAUCCCAUUCUCUGAUGUCUGCAUUCAGUUUUUCUAGUAAAUCUCCCAUCCUUUGAAAAGUCUGGCUACAUGGGAACAUUCACGGAGAUGAGCUGCCUGCCUGAUUCCGCCUUGCUGGGGAAAGUGACAAUUUACAGACCAAGCCCCUGUCCCCCCACUCCAAGGGUGUAGCCCCAGCGAACUCCUGCCAGCUUCCCCAACAGGGACUUGAGCCAGGCCUGUUUGGACCGGACACCUCCACCUGUCCAGCGUGUGUGACAUUCAGGCCAGGUAAGGGGGCCAGAGGACAGAAGUCUUCCAUUUGUCACGCUAGGUACCACCACUGGCUGGGGCAGCAGGGCUGCUGGGCUGCGAAAACCACUGGCCGGGCUGGGGAUGGGUUGUCCUCUGUCGGGGUACAGAGGUCCCCCCCCCACCGGAUGCGUGACCUCAAGUACAAAUGCAAGCCAGUGUCCUAUCGCACGGUGCUCUGCCUCUGGCAGAGGGACAGAGGAUCUGCGAAGGCACUUUCACAGCAUCAUCCUGAGAGGCUUGGGAUACAUCUAACGUGCUUAUCUAGCAAAUGUUUAUCAGAUGUCAUUAGAGGGAGGCUCGGGUGCCGGGUGAGAGAGAAGUGCCAGCCAUCAGGGCGUAGAUCCUGCCCCGCAGAGCUCAAGUCCAGGGGGAGCUUGUCAUUGCAAAGAUGGAGCUCCUCACAUGGGACGGGGGUGAACUUAUAGGCGGGGUGCAGGGUACAACCUGUUUGGAGAAGGGGCCACUGGGAUAAGCGGGAGUCAGGGUAGUAGUGGGCCCAUGCACAGACCCAGAAGGGCAGCGCGAGAAGUGAUCAUCACGAGCAAAAGUAAUCGUGGGUAAGUUCAGCAUAACUCAAGGGUGUACCCCGGAUGGGCCGGGGUGAGAUGCAAGGGGGGUGCACUCGGGGGCCAGACGAUGAAGGGUCUCGUGGACCAGCCCCCAGGAAGCGUCCGUUCUAUGUUGGGUGUCCCUCCUUCCCACCACCUCAUAACACCUAAGAGUCAUAUGACAAGGCUUUCCUAGAAGUGAGUGGCAUAAUCAACUCUAGACAUUCCUAACCUCCUUUUAGUAACAAAAAUAUAGAGGGGCGCCUGGGAGGCUCAGGCUAGUAGGUGUCCGACUCUUGGUUUUGGCUCAGAUCAUGAUCUUGUGGUCCGUGGGUUCGAGCCCCGCGGCUGCUUGGGAUUCUCGGUCCCUCUUUCUCUGCCCCUCCCCCAUCACGCUUGUGCGCUUUCCCUCAAGAUAAAGAAAUAAACUUAAAAAAAAAAAAAAAGCAAUGCGGGAAGGAUAAUCGUAAAGCCUUGCAAUUCAGUUGAAAACACUGGUACUGUAAGUGGAGGCUGGUCUGAAAUAGCUCCCAUGUAGCCGACCUGAGGGUUUGCAUCGACUCGAUGCCCAGCGUGCCCUGACGGGGUGAUAUAAGAGCUCAAGGGGCUAAUUUGUUCAUGGGCUGCAGAAAUAAUGUCAGGAUGGAGACAGGCCACCCCACUCUGGGGACUUCCCAGCUCAGGCCUCUGCUCCAAGAGCGCGUUGUUCAACCGGGUAGAGCCUUCCCGGAAGAGUGGUUAGGCUGCGGUCUGAUCUAGAUGCAGCAUCCAAGGUACAGCUUAUGGAUCUGGGAUGUUUAUUUAGAGGUGGCCGUGGAGGCGGUUUCCCAACGUUCGGAGGGCGGCGCUGUGGCCGCAGGACGACUCAUGGGUAAGAAGUUUCAGGAAAGCCCAACCUAGGGAAGUCAAGGCUGUCCAAUAACGCAAAGCCCUCACUUCCGGAAGGGACUCCCGUCACUGGGAUGCGUAAGCAGAGUCGAGGUGACAGGUGUCUGGAAGGCUGUGAAAGCCAUUGCUGCCCUCCCUCCGAGGGAGGCCGCAUUUGUCCUUCAAUUUUGAUGUUUGGGAUUUGAUUUCCCAUGGUUUACCUAACUCCUCCCCGAGACUGGUAGGAUUUCUGCCCUGAACGACUUGGUACAGUUAAAAGCGAAUAUCCAGCCAUUGCCACCAGGCACUGGCAUCACCUUGCCUUAAGAAGCAACCCUUCCCCCCUGACUCAUGGCCUGUGAUUCCUACAAGGAGCACCUUUCUGGAAGGUACCUGCCAGGCACUCUCCUAGCGUGCCUCUCCUGGGCCUGAGGCUCUCAGCCCUUCAGGAUAUCUGUGACCCCACUGCCGGGGAUGGCUUCCGCCCGCCCCCUCCAGCCCGCCCUCUGAGGCCUGAGCGCAGCAACCCAGCGCCCAGCCUCCCUUUCUUGGGUUUCGGGAUCCGCGUGAGUGAUGUCUGCAUCUGGCUGGAAAUUAAAACAACUGUCUGCAUUGCAUUCGGCCCGUCUGUCAAAACACAGCCCGGCUCUCAGCAGCUGGGAAAGGGGGCCCUGAAUGGGAGCAGUGUCCCCAGCAACAAAGCCCACUUUCACGCCAAGUGCCACGGAGAUAGUGAGAACCCUGUUCUUCUCCAAACAUGAAACCAAGAGCACAACUAUUUUUCCUGUUUCCUGGGCCCUCCUGGUGGGAAUUUCUCUCUUUUUUUUGUAAUGCACUGAGUGGAAGAGAGAAGUGAAACAGGAAACUUACGGGGGGGGGGGGGCGGUUUAAGACUCGAAUGAUGCCCUCCUCAAAGAUGUAAUAGCCAUGCACAAACCAGAAGCCAGAAAUGUCACAGGGACCGGGAGGAGACCCUCAACGUGACAUGUUUCUGUGGGCUCUCUGUCUUUGCUACGUUCAUGUGCUUCUAUAUUCACUCAUCAGCCGAUACUCACGGACCACAUCCUACAUACAGACCAGCACUAGGCACUUCAGGGUAAUGAAAACAACAGCCGCAGUAAAACACAGCCAUCACCUUCAAGUCGCAAACAGACUAGCAAUAAAACAAGCAAGCAAACGAACAAACAAACCCCAAGAAGGUGAUGUGUGUUCUAAGAGCGGCAUUGCAAGAGAGCUGAGGGAAUUCAGAGCAAAGAGAAAAUACUUUUACGUCUUCUGGGUCCAACGCGAUAGCCACUCUCUCUUGCGGCUAUAAGCAUCUGAAAUGUGGCUAGUUCAAACCGAGAUGUGCUAUCAGGACACAACAAACCCUGCGUUUUGAGGACUUUUGUAUGGAAAAAAAAAAAAGGAAAAUAUCACAUUAAUAAUUUUUUAU